UACGUAGGGUGCGAGCGUUGUCCGGAAUUAUUGGGCGUAAAGAGCUCGUAGGCGGUCUGUCGCGUCGAAUGUGAAAACCCGGGGCUCAACUCCGGGCUUGCAUUCGAUACGGGCAGGCUAGAGUUCGGUAGGGGAGUCUGGAAUUCCUGGUGUAGCGGUGAAAUGCGCAGAUAUCAGGAGGAACACCGGUGGCGAAGGCGGGACUCUGGGCCGAUACUGACGCUGAGGAGCGAAAGCGUGGGGAGCGAACAGG
rnacentral:rRNA from 3 species